rnacentral:rRNA from 1 species
UGGGGAAUAUUGCACAAUGGGGGAAACCCUGAUGCAGCAACGCCGCGUGAGCGAAGAAGUAUUUCGGUAUGUAAAGCUCUAUCAGCAGGGAAGAAGAAAGACGGUACCUGACUAAGAAGCACCGGCUAAAUACGUGCCAGCAGCCGCGGUAAUACGUAUGGUGCAAGCGUUAUCCGGAUUUACUGGGUGUAAAGGGAGCGCAGGCGGCCGUGCAAGCCAGAGGUGAAAACCCGGGGCUCAACCCCGCGGAUUGCCUUUGGAACUGUAUGGCUUGAGUACUGGAGGGGCAGGCGGAAUUCCUGGUGUAGCGGUGAAAUGCGUAGAUAUCAGGAGGAACACCGGUGGCGAAGGCGGCCUGCUGGACAGAAACUGACGCUGAGGCUCGAAAGCGUGGGGAGCAAACAGG